UAUAAAUUCUGGAAUUGUUUGGUCUAGUUCUGUGAGGAAUGUCUGGCACGUCUGUCAAAAUCAGUGGACCGUACCCACGUGGACCCGGCUCUGAACUCUCUUCUGCCCGACUGCUCUGGUCAUCCGUCUCUCACGACGCCGUGCUGUCCAAAAUUCUGCAGCGGCACAGCACGUCUCAACAUCCAGCAGCGCACAUCCUCCAACUUUGUUCUGCUUCCUUGAGAUUAUCUUGGCCGUUCUAGGCCCUUUGUGUUCCCAUACAAAUUUUAGAAUUGGCCAUUGAUUUCCAGAAAAGUGCCGACUGACGUUGCACGGAGUGGAAAGAUGAAGCUGGGGAGAAGGGCCGUGUCAUAGGCCUGCACCUCCAGCCCGGACCUUCUCUGUCAGCUCAGACGCCACCUACAAACAUUGGCUCCGGCAGCCUCCCUGCUCGCUGACCCCGCGAUGCUCGGCACCCUCAGCCUCCCCAAGCCAGUCUUCACCUGGCACCCACAGAGCUGCUCAGACUCGCCCACACCCAUCGUUUAAAGCAGUAGGAAGGGGAACUCCUGCCUGCCCCCCAGCCGCAGCGCUCUGCCCCAGCUGACCCCUCCGGCCUUGGCAGACGUCCCUCUCUCCAGUCCUCUCCCCUACUUCUCUGUGCAGCCCCUCCCUUCUCUUUCAGACCUCAGCCCACCUGUCCUGCCCUUGGAGCCCUCUCCCCAACACCCCAACUCGGGACCAGCCCCUGUACCAGCUGCCAGACUCCCUGUGCUUCCCCCGGUGGCACCCCAGGCACACAGUGCUGUGUUUGAGUGAUGUCCUCUCCCCGCGGGGGCGGCCCGGCCACCCCGCUGCCGGU